UUUCAGCAACCUCUGCCUCUCAGAAGCAAGGUCCCCAGUUGAAUCACUCACAUUUCAAACUCUCUUAGAUGCCCCAGCCAUUAUAAUCUCCUCCUCUUC